rnacentral:rRNA from 1 species
AGAUUGAACUGAAGAGUUUGAUCCUGGCUCAGAUUGAACGUGGCGGGAUGCUUUACACAUGCAAGUCGGACGGCAGCACGGGCUUCGGCCUGGUGGCGAGUGGCGAACGGGUGAGUAAUGUAUCGGAACGUGCCCAGUAGCGGGGGAUAACUACGCGAAAGCGUGGCUAAUACCGCAUACGCCCUACGGGGGAAAGCGGGGGACCUUCGGGCCUCGCACUAUUGGAGCGGCCGAUAUCGGAUUAGCUAGUUGGUGGGGUAACGGCCUACCAAGGCGACGAUCCGUAGCUGGUUUGAGAGGACGACCAAGCCCACUGGGACUGAGACACGGCCCAGACUCCUACGGGAGGCAGCAGUGGGGAAUUUUGGACAAUGGGGGCAACCCUGAUCCAGCCAUCCCGCGUGUGCGAUGAAGGCCUUCGGGUUGUAAAGCACUUUUGGCAGGAAAGAAACGGCACGGGCUAAUAUCCUGUGCAACUGACGGUACCUGCAGAAUAAGCACCGGCUAACUACGUGCCAGCAGCCGCGGUAAUACGUAGGGUGCAAGCGUUAAUCGGAAUUACUGGGCGUAAAGCGUGCGCAGGCGGUUCGGAAAGAAAGAUGUGAAAUCCCAGGGCUUAACCUUGGAACUGCAUUUUUAACUACCGGGCUAGAGUGUGUCAGAGGGAGGUGGAAUUCCGCGUGUAGCAGUGAAAUGCGUAGAUAUGCGGAGGAACACCGAUGGCGAAGGCAGCCUCCUGGGAUAACACUGACGCUCAUGCACGAAAGCGUGGGGGAGCAACAGGAUUAGAUACCCUGGUAGUCCACGCCCUAAACGAUGUCAACUAGCUGUUGGGGCCUUCGGGCCUUGGUAGCGCAGCUAACGCGUGAAGUUGACCGCCUGGGGAGUACGGUCGCAAGAUUAAAACUCAAAGGAAUUGACGGGGACCCGCACAAGCGGUGGAUGAUGUGGAUUAAUUCGAUGCAACGCGAAAAACCUUACCUACCCUUGACAUGUCUGGAAUCCCGAAGAGAUUUGGGAGUGCUCGCAAGAGAACCGGAACACAGGUGCUGCAUGGCUGUCGUCAGCUCGUGUCGUGAGAUGUUGGGUUAAGUCCCGCAACGAGCGCAACCCUUGUCAUUAGUUGCUACGAAAGGGCACUCUAAUGAGACUGCCGGUGACAAACCGGAGGAAGGUGGGGAUGACGUCAAGUCCUCAUGGCCCUUAUGGGUAGGGCUUCACACGUCAUACAAUGGUCGGGACAGAGGGUCGCCAACCCGCGAGGGGGAGCCAAUCCCAGAAACCCGAUCGUAGUCCGGAUCGCAGUCUGCACUCGACUGCGUGAAGUCGGAAUCGCUAGUAAUCGCGGAUCAGCAUGUCGCGGUGAAUACGUUCCCGGGUCUUGUACACACCGCCCGUCACACCAUGGGAGUGGGUUUUACCAGAAGUAGUUAGCCUAACCGCAAGGGGGCGAUUACCACGGUAGGAUUCAUGACUGGGGUGAAGUCGUAACAAGGUAGCCGUAUCGGAAGGUGCGGCUGGAUCACCUCCUUU